CCUACGGGGGUCAGCAGUGGGGAAUAUUGGACAAUGGGGGGAACCCUGAUCCAGCCAUGCCGCGUGUGUGAAGAAGGCCCUCGGGUUGUAAAGCACUUUCAGUGAGGAAGAACGCCUGGUGGUUAAUACCCAUCAGGAAAGACAUCACUCACAGAAGAAGCACCGGCUAACUCCGUGCCAGCAGCCGCGGUAAUACGGAGGGUGCGAGCGUUAAUCGGAAUUACUGGGCGUAAAGCGCGCGUAGGUGGCUUGAUAAGCCGGUUGUGAAAGCCCCGGGCUCAACCUGGGAACGGCAUCCGGAACUGUCAAGCUAGAGUGCAGGAGAGGAAGGUAGAAUUCCCGGUGUAGCGGUGAAAUGCGUAGAGAUCGGGAGGAAUACCAGUGGCGAAGGCGGCCUUCUGGACUGACACUGACACUGAGGUGCGAAAGCGUGGGUAGCAAACAGGAUUAGAUACCCCAGUAGUC
rnacentral:rRNA from 1 species